GCAGACUACUAAUAUCAUUCUAAAAUUAAAAUAUUAUUUAUCAUUUAAUCCCAGGUUGAGACAGCAUGUAUGUAAAUAGCUUAGCAAAACCUCAGUUUCUUAAUACCUCACAAAUUCACGAUAGCCUACUGCGUGUUCUUUUCGGGUCAUUAUUUUUGGGGGCAGCUUAGUUUGACAACGGCUUCUUAUUCACUUGAUUAUCUAGUUAUAAAUCCGAAGUACAAAUGGGACAAAUACAGUUUUUAUUCAUCUAUUCUUGGUUUGGAGGUUAAAAUGCAAAAACAAAACCACAUAUAUGAGCUGUGUCUUAUAGAAAUUGACCUUGUGCAAAUGAAUAUCAAAUGAAUAUCUGUAAACAUUUUUCUGGU
rnacentral:lncRNA from 1 species